rnacentral:rRNA from 1 species
UACGUACUGUGCGAACGUUAUUCGGAAUCACUGGGCUUAAAGGGUGCGUAGGCGGCCUGUUAAGUAGGGUGUGAAAUGCCAGAGCUCAACUUUGGCAUUGCGCUCUAAACUGGCAGGCUUGAGUGAGAUAGGGGUGUGCGGAACUUCCAGUGUAGCGGUGAAAUGCGUAGAUAUCGGGAGGAACACCGGUGGCGAAGGCGGUUCUCUGGGCAUGACCUGACGCUGAGGAGCGAAAGCAUGGGGAGCGAACAGG